GACGGAGGAUGCAAGUGUUAUCCGGAAUCACUGGCGUAAAGCGUCUGUAGGUGGUUUAAUAAGUCAACUGUUAAAUCUUGAGGCUCAACCUCAAAAUCGCAGUCGAAACUAUUAGGCUAGAGUAUAGUAGGGGUAAAGGGAAUUUCCAGUGGAGCGGUGAAAUGCGUAGAGAUUGGAAAGAACACCGAUGGCGAAGGCACUUUACUGGGCUAUUACUAACACUCAGAGACGAAAGCUAGGGUAGCAAAUGGG
rnacentral:rRNA from 1 species